UACUGGGCGUAAAGCGCGCGUAGGUGGUUCGUUAAGUUGGAUGUGAAAGCCCCGGGCUCAACCUGGGAACUGCAUCCAAAACUGGCGAGCUAGAGUACGGUAGAGGGUGGUGGAAUUUCCUGUGUAGCGGUGAAAUGCGUAGAUAUAGGAAGGAACACCAGUGGCGAAGGCGGCUACCGGGACCAACACUGACCCUGAGGUGCGAAAGCGUGGGGAGAAAACAGGAUUAGAAACCCGAGUAGUCACGUC
rnacentral:rRNA from 1 species